CAGUCGCUUCUUUUAUUUCUUAUUAUAUAUUUUAUUCAAGCAGCAGUUGAUCAAUGCUCUUAAAAUUGUGCUAUCAUCUUUAGAGACUGAUUUACAUCCACACAUCUGCAUCCGGGAGGCUCUGGAAUUAAAUAGUCAUGACUGAGAGAGUGUUUGUGUUUGUUGAUGAAGAGGAGCUGUUCAGUGUGAUGAAGGAUGCUGACUGUCUCUACUGCAGGAAUCCAGUCACUGCGUCCAAACAUCACCUCAGAAAGAGACAUCUCAGAUUCGCUAUAUAUUAUAAAGACUCUGCCAUUGGGAAGUUUUCUAUCCCCUGUUAUUGCUCUGAUGGAGGCCAUGGCAGGAGCCACUGGCACUGCCCAAUGUGCGCAAAAAUAUUGCAAAGAACAAAGGAUUUCAAAAUCCAUAUUACCAACCACGAGAAUGGAAUAUCAAGUAUGUAUCUGACUGUAUGGUAAUCCAGUCAACAGUUUACACAGUAAAAAUCAUUUAUUAUUAUUGGCAUUGUCCGUAUUGUAGAAUAUACACAAACCAUGUUUUUUUUUUUUUAUUUUUAACUAAUCCAAGUUAAUUCUUGUUAAUUAAUAUCCUUCAAUUCUGAUAUGUUUCACACGACUGCAGGUGUUGAGAUGACAGACAAAUCCACAGGUGAGCAGCGGCAUUUAAUCAUUUUCAGUAGCGCUCAUCCACUGAUCAAAUGAACACCACAGCAGCUGCCCAGUCAGUCAGUGACAGUUUUGUAUGACGGCGCCUCCUAAAGGUGUGGACACAUACCAUUGUUCUGUGAAUUUUCACAGAUGCUGUUCAGUAGAAUACACACAGUCUGAUUUUCACGAGGGUAAACUAUUUCUCCACGCAGUUUCUGCAGCGCACAUGGCUGUUUAUGUAUUUAUUUUCUAGUGAUUCUGAAGGCCAUGAUCAGCUGGUUCAAGUGUGUUUGAUUGAUUGUUGUAGCUCACCUCUGCAAGACAACGGGUCUCCAGGAGCAAGGUUAAAGACCUCGGACAGGGGUGUCCAAUCCUGCUCUUGGAUCUUGCAGACUUUAGCUCCAUCCGUCUCCAGCACACUUGAAUGGAAGUUUCUAGCACAUUCUGAAGACCUGGGCUGUGUUGCCCCCAUCCCCUUAUUUAGGGCACUAUUUGAGAGAACAGCCAUUUGAAGUGUUGUCCGAAAAUACUCAUUCAAUACCAUAAUGCACCUCGGUAAUGAGUCUACAACCGAUGAACUCUCAGCGGCUAGAGAAUACCCAUAAUGCACUGUAAGGGUCAUGCUGAAUGAACUCCCAUGUCUCGUCAGAAGAUGGCGCCUGCAGUUGAAUCAUCAGUCCAUUCUUUUUCCAAACCGCUGGUCCAAUGUGGUUACAGAGUACUAUCAUACAGUUGAGCUACAACCUACAAUGGUCCUGUCGGAGAACCAACAAACAGACAACGAAGACAAGACACCGGGCAACAAGUCAGCGUGCCAGAAGUGUGGCAUCUUCUUUACCACCACAUCAAAUUUGAGACGGCAUGAGAGACUACAGCACGGCCAAGACCAGCAGCCCAUGUUAUGCGUAGAUGCCAAAAAUGCAAUCUAUGUUACACCCAAGGAUCUGCACGGACCUAGAGUGCCCAUUCAUAUCCGUAAAUCCUUCACCUUGCAGAUUCUGCUGUGUGAACUGGAGGAAUGCUGGGAUUUCAUGAAAGCGCUGGCCCAGAGCGGGAAUCCUGGGAAGGAAUGCCGUCACCUCGUGAGAACGAAUCACGCGCAGCACUACGUCCCUCCUCCACCGCUGAGCAUCAGCUCUCUGGAGGAGAUGAGCCACAAACACCUCCUGUCCGCAUCUGAGAAACACGCGUGCCAGGAGAUGAACUCCAGGGCAUGUUUAGAGGGAGUCGAUUGUGUCUACCCUAUUUUUUGGGGGAAGCAUGACCUUUCAGAGAGAUGUGUCUACUUUUCUGUGUACACUGACCUCAAGGACAAAUGGUGUCAGUUUGGGAGGACACGCGUCUCGUUUGACACCAAGUCUGGCAGCUGGAAGUGUCUGUGUGAACACAAAAGAAUCCCUUGCAUCCACAAGCGUUUAUCUAUGUGGUGGUUGUUUCAGGAGCAUCCCAAAUUGUUGCAGAACCCCCUGGAUGUCCACGCUGAAAGAGUCGACGUGCUUGAGGAAGUGGUCAUGGAUAAAAUGUCUCCUGAUGGUGAUGACCUCUGCUAGCCUCAACAUCCCUCUCAUGUUCUGUCUUCACCCAAUAAAAACACUUGCCAUACACUUGAUUUUGCCUUGUAAUUUCUUAGUUGAUUUGCAAAAAUUCAUGUGCUGUGCUAUGUUUACAGUGUUGGGGGAAACGCAUUACAAGUAACACUAAUUACGUAACUAGUAACGUAUUACUUUUACAUUUGCAAUGAAAUAUCGGAGUUACUUUGUCAAAUAAGUAAUGAAAGUUAUUUUGUUACUUUGCACUCAACUUCUGUCUCCGUGUUGAGAGAAAUCAGUGGCACUUCCUUCAGCCUGAGGCUUAUUAUUUUUUACAGUUGCCAUUACAGUACAGGUGACCAAAAGUAAUGCAAAAGUAACGUAAUGCAUUACUUUCCAUGAAAAGUAACUAAGUAACGCAGUUAGAUUUUGGAGUAGUGCAAUGUUGUAAUGCAUUACUUUUAAAAGUAACUUCCCCCAAAACUGUAUGUUUAUGACGUUGCCACACUAAUUUUAUUAAAGUUAUCCAAGAUAUAUUUAUUGUGAAAUUUCUGGAAAGGUGUCUUGAGAUUUAUUCAUGGAUUAUUCAUCUGAAAAGCAAAAUGUGUGUUCUCGUGCUUUCAAAGCCAAAUGUAAUGCAUACUAAGUCCCACCACUCUUUGUGGUGAAGUUUCACUUUAGGCUUUGUAUUGCACUGUAAAUGGUGAGUUAUGUGACAUGACUGUGUCACACAAAGUAUUGAUGGUGUUGUGUGUCUUUAUAAUUGCCCUCUUGGCUUUGCCCAGACUGGUUUAGUCUGGUUGUUUUGGCCAGAAUUUAACUAAUUUUACACAACGUAAAUUAUGUUCAGUAUUAUUAUUUUUAAAAUGCAUCUUUAUCUAUGUUCGAACAGCAAAGUCUAAUAAUAAUAAAAGAAAUUAAAGAAA
ensembl:lncRNA